AGUUGAGCCGCCUCAGGCGCGGGAGCGGGGGCUUCGGGUAGGACGCCCGGCUCGGCGUCUCUGCUGAGAGGAGCUCGGUCUCCGUCUCCUUAGGACUCGCCGGGGUUUCGGCUUCAGGGCAAAGUGGGGCUGCGUCCACGCUGACUAGGGAACUAGGUUUCCUGAGGACCCAGGUGAUGCCUGAGGAAAAGGUGAAGAGACGGUCGUCCGCAACACGGAGGACAGCGGCUCCUAAUAUAACCUUCCCACAGUGCCUCUAAAUGACAUGUGGACUUUGGGUGAACUGGAUCUGGGUAAUCCACAGGACCCAAGACAUGGUAGCUACUAAUAUACUGUUCCCACGGUGCCUCUUAAUACCAUGCGGACUCCUACAAGGGAAAUAAGUAUCACAACUUUGGUUGAACUUGGUCUGGUCUCAGAUUUACCUGAUGGUCACCACUCACAGUUCCCGCAGAGCCCAGAGAUUUCUCCUUGAAGGAAAGGUUCUGGAAAAUCAGAGGGAUAAAUAAAGAAUGCAGCUGAUUCCUGCCUUGUGCUGACGCCCAAGAGGGUGAGGAGAGCCAUGAGGCAUGUGGGAUCUUAGCUUCCUGCCCAGAGAUCAAACCGGCACCCCCUGCGUUGGAAGGCGAAGUCUUAACCACUGAACCACCAGGUUCACGUACACACUUCUACAACGUCUAACAUGCCGUGGAAGUUUGACUCAUUGCCCUAGUCUGAGCUGCACUGAGAAAGACCCUCGGCUUCGCAUUCCAUCUAGGACCUCCUGCCUGAAUUCAUCCUGCCUCCAGGACAAAGUCGGCUUGCGUUCUGACUGCAACUAAAGCCCAGUUCCUCGUGGAACACUGCAGGCUUUUGAAGAGCCACAGGCCCGGAGGCCUAGCUGGGGCGUUCCUUGGUUGAGGCGGUUCACUAGAUGCAGAACACCGUGCUUCGAUGAGUUGAUUCAGGGAAGGAACCACUGGGUAACCUGUGUCUCUCUGGACUUGUUAGAAAGCACAGGGAUGUAUGCUGCGUGUGCCCAUGGAAAUGGGGGCCUGAUGGAACUAGCCUUGCUUUCCCAUUUGGAAAGCUCCAUUCAUGCUGCCUUGAAGCUACUUGAAAUUGACUGCUGUUGACAGGCCACUAGCCACUGUACGCAUGGCUCUGGGAAGAAAAUGAGUUUUCUCUAGCUAAACCGGGUGCUUCCAUGGCCGGGGUGGAGCUCAUCCUGCCAUGCUCCAGAGCUAAAGGGAAACUCAACGUGAGUACUGGCCUCGAGGUAAGGCCCUGAGUAGCCGUGCAGAAAGGGAGGCAUGCAGCUGUUUCCAUGAGGUCUUAGUCGCUGUUGUGCUUUAUUUUAAAGGAAGUACCCUUUUCAGGACUCCUAGGCCCCUCGUGUGUGCAUCAUUUUCCCUCCAAGAUCACUGAGUACCUCCAGACCGCUGUGGGCCUGCUGAGCAACAUCGAGACCCAUAGGUCGGUCCCUCGGAGGCCCUCUGGGUAUGCCGAGCAAAGGGCAACAUGCUACACUCUUCCUUAAGAGAACUAGAUUUCCUCAGCACUCCAACAGCUUUAGGAAAACGUUUCUAGCCCGUCUAACACGCCAUGGAAUUGUGCCUCAUUGCCCUAUUGUGAGCUGCACUGAAAAAGCACUGUGCUAAGCAUUCCUUCUAGGACCUCCUGCCUGAAGUCACCCUGCCUCCAGGAGAACGUCGGCUCGCGUUCCAACUGCAAGGAAAGCACAGUUCUUCGUGUAACACUGCAGGCUUUUGGAGCAAGCACAGGCCCGGAGGCCUAACUCAGGCAUUCCUUAGUUGAGGCAGUUCACUACACACAGAACACCCCGUGUAGAAACGCUGAUUCAGGGAAGUGCCCAGUGUGUAGCUCGUGUCUCUUUUCACUUGUUAGAAAGCACGUGUAAGUGUGCUGCGUGUCCGCCGGGAAAUGGGUGCCUGACGGCAGAAGCCAUUUCAUCAGAGGUGUUGGGAGUGUGUAGAGGCGUUAUAUUCCUGUUGUGUGUCCUGCAGGCAUCCCAUGAAAGACCAGAAUCUAGGUCAACUUGGGCAAGCCACUUAACUGAGCCUCAGCUUUCUUUAUUUGUAAGGUGGGCACCACAGCGCUUCCCUCCCGUAUUCAUGGCGAUAACCUGGCAACAAACGUACACCAUGUGGCCCCACUUUGAAAUCUUUAAAGAGGUCUGCCAAUAAAAGUGUCUGUAGGUUGUACCUUCCCUGCAAUGACACACCUGGUCCAAGGUGGAGAGGUUUCAGGAGUGAGCAGUUUGCCCUUCAAAUGAAUGGACAGAGCUCAGCCAGCGGCGCCCCUUCACUGAGACCCUGGCUGCCGAGGUACACACUUUCCAUGUAUCCAGGCUAGUUUCAGAUGGAGACUGAGAGGGAAAAUAGGCAGGUGUAAGGAUGCAAUCCUCAAAUCUUUGGUUUCAAAUAAUCCAUCCCAAACUGCUACCCGAGCCCCCCAGUAUCAAAAAGGAAACAUGUUAUAGACCCAGAAAAAUGUGUUUCCCAAAAGACCUAGGUUUGCCCUCAUAGUCAUCAGUAUCUAAAAUAGAAGUAGCAGUACACUUAAAAUCUUAAACUUCUAUGUAUUUAGGGACCAAAGGCAUUUUCAUCAGAAAGAAAAGGGAUUUAAUAAUGAAACCACAGAGAGAUAAAUUGUUUUCAAGCCCCUGAUAAGAGAGGGGAGAAAUGUCAACCUCGUGGGAGUUGCAGAAUCAGCAGUUAGGAUUUUUGGAUGCCAACUCUGGUGGAGAAGAGACUCCAGCCUGUACCCUCCCCACCCACCCUCCCCGGUAUGCCUGGUUAGGAGGUGAGUCCUGCAGGCACGGUGGCCCCUGGGCUGGCCGGAGCGGCAGGAUGAGUGCAGGGGUUCCUGAACAGAACAGUUUACCCUCCCUCCCCAGAGACACCUAGCAAUGUCUGGAGGGUGGGCUAGUGGCAGGUGGCCAGGGACGCUGCUAAACACACUACAAUGCCCAGGACAAAGCCCACCACAGAGAACGAUUCAGCCCAGAAUGUCAGCAGUGCUGAGGAUGAGAAACCUAUGUAUGUGGUAAUGCUGGCCUCCAGGAGAAGUUCAGGAGACAGCCCAACCCUCUUCCUGCCCACAAGGCGGGGAUGGUCCUCUCCUGUAGCUUGCUCCAAUUUAAGGACCUUUUGCUGUCCGCUGUUGGUGAGUGACCCGGUGCCCUGGCUUUAGGAGUCGGGGCCUGAGGGCCUCGUUAGCUCCCCGAAUUCUGUGCACUCAGAGUGCGCUUUACCCCCACGCUCCCUGCUGUUGUAGAGCAGGGUCUGAAAAGCCAGAGGGAGUGGCUGCUGGAUUUGGUGCUAGCAGGCUUGGUCUUGGCGUCACUGGUAAUGUACAGGGUGAUAUUUGGGGUAGAAAGAGACAAAUUAGGCCGAUUCGUAGCGAGGUGGUGGCUGCUCUGCGGAACGCCCCUGAGUUGCGAGGUUCUGGGACCGCUGAUCAGUAGCAGAGGUGUGACGAGGACACAGCCUCACACCGUGCCCCACGGCCUGGGCCUUUCGGAGUUGGCCUCUUCAGAAGGCUCUCCCAGGCACAGACCACCCCAUCCCCGAGCCCCAGCACGCUGGCCCCUCCGCACUGGACAUGUAGGGGUAGCGCGGGGUGUGGUGUCCACGCCAGACUGAAGUCCAGGUCGGAGGGGCUCAGCCUGAGGCUGAAAGGAGAUGGAUGGAUCAGUAGGUUGGUGGCGGUGUCUCCUGGGAGGGAAUCACAGGGAAUUGUUACUUCUCAGUUAUCUUCUGCAUUUUAAAAACUUCUGCCAUGAGUACGCAUUUCUGUAACCAAAACCUUAUCAGAGUGGAAGCUUAGUGGGGCAGCUUUGCAAAAGGACCCUGCCUGACUCUUGACCCGCCUGUGUGCCUAAAUGCGCAUGCAGCUGGGGCUUGGUCAGCAGUGGUGACCUCCUGAAGCUAUUUACAACCUGUAAGCGGUGUGUGCUCCUCCACAGGAUACCUCAGUUCUCUGACUCUCAGGUUCUUCUUCUGUGGAGAAAAAGGGCAGAUAUGUUCUACAAAUGUCCACAGUUCCCCGUGGAGAAGGUACCUCUGGGCAUGAACAUGUGCUGGAGUGGCAUGAUGCUGGGGUCUGCCCCUCGCAGCUCAAUCUCAAAGACUCCAAGCAGAGCUACCUAUUUUAUAUUUUUCUUCCCUUCUGAAGACAUUGGCUGGCACUUGGCCUUGGUCCAGGGUGUACGCCUUCUUCAACCUGUUGACUGCAGAGUCCUCACAUUGCUUUGGGCUUGGUCCAAGUCUGUGCUUGAGUGGAGGACGGGGCGUUGAGAGGGUGCACACGCCCCUCCUUCUCAGCCACGCACCUUCUUUUCCUUGCCAAGCUCUCCCUUCUCCUACUGUGACAACGAAGCGGCUGCUUCAACCUCUUCUGUAACCUGGGCUCUCCCAUCUGUCUUCAGUUUUUCCCGUGAUCAUAGCUGGUUAGACACCUGCCGGGGGAUGUUUUUCAGACGAACUUGAGUAACUUGCCCUCGUAGAUUAGUUAAGAGCCUGUAGGUCUCGAAGGGAUUUGUGGAAAAGACCCAGCAGAGUCUCCGAGAACCCGAGGUGGCUGUGGCUGGAGCCAGGUGAGCCACAGGUUAGGGGCGUCUGGCCCUCAUCCUGUGUGAGGGUGGAUGCGCUACUGCUGUCCUCUGCCUCGGGCCCUCAUCUGUGAAAUGCGGGAACAGUGAGGACUGCCCUCCCGAGGUCGUCAUGAGGCUUAAUGUGUGAAUGCAGUGACCACUCAGAGCAGCCCUCACAGCAGGGAGCACUGUGUGUGUGUGUGUGGGUGUGUGUGUGUGUGGGUGUGUGUGUGUGGGUGUGUGUGUGUGUGUGUGUGUGUGCGUGUGUGUGUGUGUGAUUGUAGCCGCCGGGCUUUGCUUUUCUCCACCAGCUCCUUCUUCACGGGGAAGCAAGGAGAGGCAUGGGAGGGAGGGAGGGA